rnacentral:lncRNA from 1 species
UAUACUGUCCUCCUCCAUAGGUACUGCUCCUCCCUCCAUAGGUACUGCUCCUCCCUCCAUAGGUACUGCUCCUCCCUCCAUAGGUACUGCUCCUCCAUAGGUACUGCUCCUCCCUCCAUAGGUACUGCUCCUCCCUCCAUAGGUACCGCUCCUCUCCAUAGUUACUGCUCCUCCAGGUUACUGCUCCUCCAUAGUUACUGCUCCUCCAUAGUUACUGCUCAUCCGCUCCAUAGGGUACCCGCUCCUCCUAGGUACUGCUCCUCCCUAGGUACUGCUCCCUCCCUCC